rnacentral:rRNA from 1 species
CCUACGGGGGGCAGCAGUGGGGAAUAUUGCACAAUGGGCGCAAGCCUGAUGCAGCCAUGCCGCGUGUGUGAAGAAGGCCUUCGGGUUGUAAAGCACUUUCAGCGGGGAGGAAGGCGGUGAGGUUAAUAACCUCAUCGAUUGGCGUUACCCGCAGAAGAAGCACCGGCUAACUCCGUGCCAGCAGCCGCGGUAAUACGGAGGGUGCAAGCGUUAAUCGGAAUUACUGGGCGUAAAGCGCACGCAGGCGGUCUGUCAAGUCGGAUGUGAAAUCCCCGGGCUCAACCUGGGAACUGCAUUCGAAACUGGCAGGCUAGAGUCUUGUAGAGGGGGGUAGAAUUCCAGGUGUAGCGGCGAAAUGCGUAGAGAUCUGGAGGAAUACCGGUGGCGAAGGCGGCCCCCUGGACAAAGACUGACGCUCAGGUGCGAAAGCGUGGGGAGCAAACAGGAUUAGAUACCCUUGUAGUC